rnacentral:rRNA from 1 species
CCCCGGUAAACGGCGGCCGUAACUAUAACGGUCCUAAGGUAGCGAAAUUCCUUGUCGGGUAAGUUCCGACCUGCACGAAUGGCGUAAUGAUGGCCACGCUGUCUCCACCCGAGACUCAGUGAAAUUGAAAUCGCUGUGAAGAUGCAGUGUACCCGCGGCUAGACGGAAAGACCCCGUGAACCUUUACUACAGCUUGGCACUGAACAUUGAACCUACAUGUGUAGGAUAGGUGGGAGGCUUUGAAGACGUGACGCCAGUUGCGUUGGAGCCGUCCUUGAAAUACCACCCUUGUAUGUUUGAUGUUCUAACGUUGGCCCCUAAUCGGGGUUGCGGACAGUGCCUGGUGGGUAGUUUGACUGGGGCGGUCUCCUCCCAAAGAGUAACGGAGGAGCACGAAGGUGGGCUAAUCACGGUUGGACAUCGUGAGGUUAGUGCAAUGGCAUAAGCCCGCUUAACUGCGAGAAUGACGGUUCGAGCAGGUGCGAAAGCAGGUCAUAGUGAUCCGGUGGUUCUGAAUGGAAGGGCCAUCGCUCAACGGAUAAAAGGUACUCCGGGGAUAACAGGCUGAUACCGCCCAAGAGUUCAUAUCGACGGCGGUGUUUGGCACCUCGAUGUCGGCUCAUCACAUCCUGGGGCUGAAGUCGGUCCCAAGGGUAUGGCUGUUCGCCAUUUAAAGUGGUACGCGAGCUGGGUUUAGAACGUCGUGAGACAGUUCGGUCCCUAUCUGCCGUGGGCGUUGGAAGAUUGAAGGGGGCUGCUCCUAGUACGAGAGGACCGGAGUGGACGAACCUCUGGUGUUCGGGUUGUGUCGCCAGACGCAUUGCCCGGUAGCUAAGUUCGGAAUCGAUAACCGCUGAAAGCAUCUAAGCGGGAAGCGAGCCCUGAGAUGAGUCUU